GGGCCUGUAGCUCAGCGGUUAGAGCAGUGGACUCAUAAUCCAUAGGUCGCGGGUUCAAGUCCCGCCGGGCCCACCA
rnacentral:tRNA from 1 species